rnacentral:lncRNA from 1 species
ACCCUGUCUUUACCUGCAUUUAUUAUUUACCGUCGUUUUGCAAACCCAAUAUCUCUUCUACACCGUCUUAGAUAAACACUGUAACAAUAGUAAUCGAUAGAUUGACGAUUGGUCUCUGUGGGAUCGAUAUUCUUUUAUAUUACUUUGAUGUUAUUCGUGCACUUGCGAAUCCACAACGAACAGUUUCAAAACCUCCACUAUAUGUGUUACACUCUCCAUCAGAU